rnacentral:rRNA from 1 species
UACGUAGGGGGCGAGCGUUGUCCGGAUUUAUUGGGCGUAAAGAGCUCGUAGGCGGUUUGGUAAGUCGGGUGUGAAAUCUCCACGCUCAACGUGGAGGGGCCACUCGAUACUGCCAUGACUCGAGUCCGGUAGAGGAGUGUGGAAUUCCCGGUGUAGCGGUGAAAUGCGCAGAUAUCGGGAGGAACACCCGUAGCGAAGGCGGGUCUCUGGGCCGUAACUGACGCUGAGGAGCGAAAGCAUGGGGAGCGAACAGG